rnacentral:rRNA from 1 species
GACGAACGCUGGCGGCGUGCUUAACACAUGCAAGUCGAACGGAAAGGCCCUGCUUUUGUGGGGUGCUCGAGUGGCGAACGGGUGAGUAACACGUGAGUAACCUGCCCUUGACUUUGGGAUAACUUCAGGAAACUGGGGCUAAUACCGGAUAGGAGCUCCUGCUGCAUGGUGGGGGUUGGAAAGUUUCGGCGGUUGGGGAUGGACUCGCGGCUUAUCAGCUUGUUGGUGGGGUAGUGGCUUACCAAGGCUUUGACGGGUAGCCGGCCUGAGAGGGUGACCGGCCACAUUGGGACUGAGAUACGGCCCAGUCUCCUACGGGAGGCAGCAGUGGGGAAUAUUGCACAAUGGGCGGAAGCCUGAUGCAGCAACGCCGCGUGCGGGAUGACGGCCUUCGGGUUGUAAACCGCUUUCGCCUGUGACGAAGCGUGGGUGACGGUAAUGGGUAAAGAAGCACCGGCUAACUACGUG